CAGUCGCCGCGGGAAUACAGAGGGUGCGAGCGUUAAUCGGAUUUACUGGGCGUAAAGCGUGCGUAGGCGGCUUCUUAAGUCGGAUGUGAAAUCCCUGAGCUUAACUUAGGAAUUGCAUUCGAUACUGGGAAGCUAGAGUAUGGGAGAGGAUGGUAGAAUUCCAGGUGUAGCGGUGAAAUGCGUAGAGAUCUGGAGGAAUACCGAUGGCGAAGGCAGCCAUCUGGCCUAAUACUAACGCUGAGGUACGAAAGCAUGGGGAGCAAACAGGAUUAGAUACCCCCGUAGUCCCUGUCUCUUAUAC
rnacentral:rRNA from 1 species